rnacentral:rRNA from 1 species
UACGAAGGUCCCAAGCGUUAUCCGGAUUUAUUGGGUUUAAAGGGUGCGUAGGCGGCCAAGUAAGUCAGGAGUGAAAGUUUGCGGCUCAACCGUAAAAUUGCUUUUGAUACUGCUAGGCUAGAAUUAGGAUGAGGUCAGCGGAAUGUGGCAUGUAGCGGUGAAAUGCAUAGAUAUGCCAUAGAACACCAAUUGCGAAGGCAGCUGGCUAGACCUGGAUUGACGCUGAGGCACGAAAGCGUGGGGAUCGAACAGG